GUUUAUUAGAGAAAAGGACUGGGUUCAGUGAUUGCUCGAAGGAUGUGAGAUAUGCCUAAUGUUUAGAACAAGAGUUCAUCUUCCAAGUCAUCCGUGUUCUGUGGAAUAAGACCCUAAACCCUUUUCACUUCGAUCCCAGUUUAAGACUGGAAAUGUCUUCAAUCUUUGAAUUUUCAUUUGUUCUUUGAACAUAGACGGGGUUACUUGUCGGCCCGACGUAUAACUAUGGGCCUGGGCUUUAUUUGGUUAAAACCGUCUUUGAGAUUGUUCUAAUUUGGCUUUAUUCGGCCUAAUGUUG
rnacentral:sRNA from 1 species